GCGAAGAGCGGGCAGGGUGCGGGGGGAAGACGGAGAGUGGAAGCAAAUAGCGGGAUGAGUGGGCGGAAAGGGAGCGUAGGCGGAGAUAUAAGUCAGAUGUGAAAUUCCGAAGCGCAACUUCGGAGCUGCAGUUGAAACUAUAAAUCUCGAGGAUUGACGGAGAAAACGGAAUUCCACGUGUAGCGGUGAAAUGCGUAGAUAUGUGGAAGAACACCUGUGGCGAAAGCGGUUUUCUAGUUUAUACCUGACGCUGAGGCGCGAGAGCAAGGGGAGCAAACAGGAUUAGAGACCCGAGUAGUC
rnacentral:rRNA from 1 species